GCCCUUUUCCGGUUGAUCCUGCCGGAGGUUACUGCUAUCGGGGUCCGAUUAAGCCAUGCGAGUUGAGAGGGGUAAGCCCUCGGCAUACUGCUCAGUAACACGCGGACAACCUGCCCUUGGGUCUGGGAUAACCCCGGGAAACUGGGACUAAUACCGGAUAGAUCAGAGAUACUGGAAUGUUCUCUGGUCCAAAACUCCGGUGCCCAAGGAUGGGUCUGCGGCCUAUCAGGUAGUAGUGGGUGUAACGUACCUACUAACCAGCGACGGGUAAGGGUUGUGAGAGCAAGAUCUCUGAUAUGGAUUCUGAGACAUGAAUCCAGGCCCUACGGGGUGCAGCAGGCGCGAAAACUUUACACUGCGGGAAACCGCGAUAAGGGGACCCCGAGUGCCAGCACCUAAUGCUGGCUGUCCUACUGUCUAAAUAACAGUGGUUAGCAAGGGCCGGGCACGACCGGUGCCAGCCGCCGCGGUAACACCGGCGGCCCGAGUGGUAACCGUCAUUAUUGGGUUUAAAGGGUCCGUAGCCGGCUUAUUAAGUCUUUUGGGAAAUCUGGCGACUCAAUCGUCAGGCGUCCAAGAGAUACUGGUAGGCUUGGGACCGGGAGAGGUGGGAGGUACUCCAGGGGUAGGGGUGAAAUCUCGUAAUCCUUGGGGGACCACCGAUGGCGAAGGCAUCCCACCAGAACGGGUCCGACGGUGAGGGACGAAAGCUGGGGGCACGAACCGGAUUAGAUACCCGGGUAGUCCCAGCUGUAAACGAUGCUCGCUAGGUGUCAGGUGCGGUGCGACCGCAUCUGGUGCCGCAGUGAAAACUUGAAGCGAGUCACCUGGGAAGUACGGUCGCAAGGCUGAAACUUAAAGGAAUUGGCGGGA
rnacentral:rRNA from 1 species